GAAGCAACUGGAAGUGGUUCCAAGAAAAGCCUCUAAGCUUCAGUUUAACAAGACCGUACCGCAAACCGACACAGGUGGGCGAGAUGAGUAUUCUAAGGCGCUUGAGAGAACUCGGGAGAAGGAACUCGGCAAAUUGGUACCGUAACUUCGGGAUAAGGUACGCCCCUGUAGCUUGACUCGCCUGCGCGAGAAGGGUGAAGGGGUUGCAAUAAACUGGUGGCUGCGACUGUUUAAUAAAAACACAGCACUCUGCAAACACGAAAGUGGACGUAUAGGGUGUGACGCCUGCCCGGUGCCGGAAGAUUAAAUGAUGGGGUGCAAGCUCUUGAUUGAAGUCCCGGUAAACGGCGGCCGUAACUAUAACGGUCCUAAGGUAGCGAAAUUCCUUGUCGGGUAAGUUCCGACCUGCACGAAUGGCGUAACGAUGGCCACACUGUCUCCUCCCGAGACUCAGCGAAGUUGAAGUGUUUGUGAUGAUGCAAUCUCCCCGCGGCUAGACGGAAAGACCCCAUGAACCUUUACUGUAGCUUUGCAUUGGACUUUGAACCGAUCUGUGUAGGAUAGGUGGGAGGCUAUGAAGCGUGGACGCCAGUCUGCGUGGAGCCGUCCUUGAAAUACCACCCUGGUUUGUUUGAGGUUCUAACCUUGGUCCGUUAUCCGGACUGGGGACAGUGCAUGGUAGGCAGUUUGACUGGGGCGGUCUCCUCCCAAAGUGUAACGGAGGAGUACGAAGGUACGCUAGGUACGGUCGGAAAUCGUGCUGAUAGUGCAAUGGCAUAAGCGUGCUUAACUGCGAGACCGACAAGUCGAGCAGGUGCGAAAGCAGGUCAUAGUGAUCCGGUGGUUCUGUAUGGAAGGGCCAUCGCUCAACGGAUAAAAGGUACUCUGGGGAUAACAGGCUGAUACCGCCCAAGAGUUCAUAUCGACGGCGGUGUUUGGCACCUCGAUGUCGGCUCAUCUCAUCCUGGGGCUGUAGCCGGUCCCAAGGGUAUGGCUGUUCGCCAUUUAAAGAGGUACGUGAGCUGGGUUUAAAACGUCGUGAGACAGUUUGGUCCCUAUCUGCCGUGGGCGCUGGAUAUUUGAAGGGGGCUGCUCCUAGUACGAGAGGACCGGAGUGGACGAACCUCUGGUGUACCGGUUGUCACGCCAGUGGCAUCGCCGGGUAGCUAUGUUCGGAAGAGAUAACCGCUGAAAGCAUCUAAGCGGGAAACUCGCCUUAAGAUGAGAUAUCCCCGGGGCUUCGAGCCCCUUGAAGGGUCGUUCAAGACCAGGACGUUGAUAGGUCAGGUGUGGAAGCGCAGUAAUGCGUUAAGCUAACUGAUACUAAUUGCCCGUAAGGCUUGAUCCUAUAACC
rnacentral:rRNA from 1 species